GAUGAAGAACGUAGCGAAAUGCGAUAAGUAAUGUGAAUUGCAGAAUUCAGUGAAUCAUCGAGUCUUUGAACGCACAUUGCGCCCCCUGGUAUUCCGGGGGGCAUGCCUGUCCGAGCGUCAUUGCUGCCCUCAAGCACGGCUUGUGUGUUGGGCCCCGCCCCCGGCUCCCGGGGGGCGGGCCCGAAAGGCAGCGGCGGCACCGCGUCCGGUCCUCGAGCGUAUGGGGCUUCGUCACCCGCUCCGUAGGCCCGGCCGGCGCCCGCCGGCGACCCCCCUCAAUCUUUUCAGGUUGACCUCGGAUCAGGUAGGGAUACCCGCUGAACUUAAGCAUAUCAAUAAGCGGAGGA
rnacentral:misc_RNA from 1 species